rnacentral:rRNA from 1 species
UGGGGAAUAUUGCACAAUGGGGAAAACCCUGAUGCAGCGACGCCGCGUGAACGAAGAAGGUAUUCGUAUCGUAAAGUUCUGUCCUAUGGGAAGAUAAUGACAGUACCAUAGAAGAAAGCUCCGGCUAAAUACGUGCCAGCAGCCGCGGUAAUACGUAUGGAGCGAGCGUUGUCCGGAAUUAUUGGGCGUAAAGGGUACGCAGGCGGUUUAAUAAGUCGAAUGUUAAAGAUCGGGGCUCAACCCCGCAAAGCAUUGGAAACUGAUAAACUUGAGUAGUGGAGAGGAAAGUGGAAUUCCUAGUGUAGUGGUGAAAUACGUAGAUAUUAGGAGGAAUACCAGUAGCGAAGGCGACUGUCUGGACACAAACUGACGCUGAGGUACGAAAGCGUGGGGAGCAAACAGG